UACGGAGGGUGCAAACGUUGCUCGGAAUCAUUGGGCGUAAAGCGCACGUAGGCGGCCUGACAAGUCGGGUGUGAAAGCCCUGGGCUCAACCCAGGAAGUGCACUCGAAACUGCCAGGCUUGAAUAUGGAAGAGGGUCGCGGAAUUCCCGGUGUAGAGGUGAAAUUCGUAGAUAUCGGGAGGAACACCAGUGGCGAAGGCGGCGACCUGGGCCAAUAUUGACGCUGAGGUGCGAAAGCGUGGGGGGCAAACAGG
rnacentral:rRNA from 1 species